GGACCUAAUGAAACUUAAAAGCUUUUGCACAAUGAAGGAAACUAUAAGCAAGGGGAAAAGACAACCCUCAGAAUGGGAAAAAUAAUAAUAACAAAUGAAACAACUGACAAAGGAUUAAUUAAAUAUACAAGCUGCUCAUACAACGCAACACCAGAAAAA